CGCUCUGCCCGGUGCGUCUGGGCCGCAUGGCCCCAUCANAUGGCGCCGGUCGCCCACGGUGUCUCACUGGCGUCCACUCGGCAGGGGCGGCGUAUCUCCGGCACCGGAGGGCUGCACUUCCUCCCUUGUAGAAACGUCGCGACCGUUGGGUGCCGGCCUCAAGGCCCGGGAAGGACAGCCAGCGUGUACUGCUAGUGACGGGUGCGAAAGCACCCGCGCCGCCGCAGAUGCGCGCGGACUCCCGGUGACCUGGCCGGCCACCCGACGGCAGGACCAGAGGAAUCGAUCCGCCGGUCGCGAAGCACUUUAGCUUGUGCGGCGUCCGGCCCGGCGCUGACGCGCGCGGGGCGAGAAACGAUGGUGGUAAAACACCGGGGGUUGUACCCAUGCGAAACACGGCCCUGGCCCACUGUGUCUUGGCCGGUCGUCCUCGGACCGGAUCGUUGCUCCCGUCGGUGACGCCCGCCUUCGGAUGGUCUCCCGACC
rnacentral:rRNA from 1 species